AAUUCGACAGCCGCAUCCUUUUUCCACACCAUCGGCCGAAAACCCAUCCCAAUCUCCUCCACCUCUCCCUUCCCGCUCCACUGCCCACUUUUCGACAGCCUUCUUCCUCUUCAACGAGAUUCUUUAAUAACAAAACCACCACCAACUUUGUAAAUUGCUUCUCCUCCAGUUCUCCCAGACCACCGCCACAACAAGUUCACGCAAAUCUGCGACUCGCUCCACAGUACACACGUGAACCGCGACAUUUGCGUUUUCCAUAACCCUCUUUACGGGAGGCUCAAACUUCGUGUCGUUGUCUUUCCAAUCCCUCUCUGCUCAAGAUCAGUGGUGGUGACAAUGUAGAAUCCUAAGUUCUUUGUGAUGGGAAUCAACGGUUCCAAUGCAACAUUCAGGCCAUUUAAUAAAUCAGCAGUUCAAAUGCAGCAUUCAGGUUAGUGUUGGUGACAUUUGCUUCAGACAAUUCUUUAAAUCAGGUUUCAAAACCCGCAGCGGAGCGCGGAAAUUUUUGCUAGUAAUAACUAAUAGAGUAGUAUCAAGUCAUCAUGGAGAAAUAGUAAGUUUAUGAUGUAAUGUAAUGGGGGAAUGAAUUUGAAUUCGUUUAUGCCAAUUUACAGAACUAUGCAUAUGUCGGGUGGGGUGGAAGUAUUUCAUGAGUAAUUUAGAGAUCACAUGCCAUAGGAAAGAACAUACUUCCCGUGCAGCAGAUUGUCUAUCAUCUACGGCUACGGCAUUGCCCAGCAACAGCAACAACAACAACAUGCAGUGCGACUAUGCAAGCGUGUUCUUUUCAACUCCUGUAUGGUGCUUGCUGUCUCAAAGCUGCCAAGGGUGGAGCGCUGGAGGGGAGAUGGAUGAACUUCCCUCAAUGACUCUGGAGGAAGCAUUGGCAUGGGGAAAACGGAAAACCUAGCUCCUCCUUCAGAGGGACUGGCAGGUAAUUUGAACUUGUAUUUUCUGAGAAGGGCCACUUGAGAAGUUUGAGAGCAUCUCCAAAUCAGUCCUGAUUAAUAAGAGAAGAUCUCAAGUUCAGCGAUAUUCUCAAGUGGUCUUAGGCAUGGAAGUACAUAUUGCGCAAGUAUCCCAUCAAUGAAGCGUUAAACGAAGAAUUGUGAAGACACUUAGGAUGCGUCUAUUAACGAAGAAUCCCUUUGUAUAGAAUAAAUCAAUUAUGUUUAUUAUUUUCCUUUUAUCUAAAUUAAUUUUGUUAAUUAAGCUACCUAAACAAUGUUUCAAUUGAAAUAGAUUGUGUCAUUGUAUUGAACAAAAUCACAUAUUAUUAUGGUGUUUUUUAUUUUUUACGUUCU